CCAAUGUGAAGGCAGCUGGAUUGUUGUGGAAAAUCCUAUAUUUUGAUGGCUAAUCCACUUUGAAAUUUCAGAUCCAGAGAAGCAUAAACAAGAUUCCCUUGCCACCACAGAAGGUAUCUGCACCAUGACUUCUAAUUAACAAGGAAUACGAUCAGUAAAGAAAAAGAAAAAAUAGAUGAGGGAGACAGAAAUAGACCUGAUUGCACAGCCUUUUGGAAUAACAAUGAAUUUUUGUUAGUGCAUAUGCCAUGAUACGCUUCUUUGCCAAAUUAUUCAACUGGUAACAAUUAGUGAAAAGGAAUUCAAAA
rnacentral:misc_RNA from 1 species